AUUAAGUCAAAAAUAUUUUUGAUGUGAUAUUUUACUGUGAUAAAAGUGUCUGAAUAAUUGAUAAUGUUGGCUUAGGAAAUGUGAUGUGAACUACCUUUUUGGUUUGCCAGAAUUCUUUUUUUCUAGGUUUCAAUGUGAAAAAUACCAUGUUCACUGCUCUGAGUCAUAUUAUCUCUUAUAAACAAGUUAUUUGGGGAAAUGAACAACAAGAGCAAAAGUGUAACCAUACAUUUGAUUUUUUGGGUAAAGAUUAUUUGAAAUACAACCCUGAUACUCCUUUCUUCAUUCUUUUUUUCAAAAUUUUUCAUGGUUUUGAAUUAGAUUUGCAUUUUAAUAAAUAUCUUUAUAACUAAUAGAUGCAUUUUUUAUCAAAUAAACAUACUAUUGUUAUAAGAUCAUAGGGACUACAUAAUAUUGCAUUGUAAUUCACAUCAGGAAAAAAAUUCUUCUGUUUUCUGUGACUGUCACAGGAAAAGUAAGAAACUCAGAAUAUUAGCCAACAAGAAGAUAUGAAAUAAGACUAGGACAAAACACCUCUAAUGAUUAUUUCUUUUAUAAAAAUAAUUUUCGUUUUUUCAAAACUUAACCAAUUUUCCUGAUUUGAGUGCAUUCAGAAAAAUGAAGCUUCAAAGCUUUGCAUAAAAGUUCAUGUGUUGUGAAAAAUGUGAAAUAUUUUAAUUGUAUGUACCGGUAUUGUUUAUUGAGCUAUUCCAAGGAAAGCAAGUUGGCAUUUACCUGAUGAAAGCAUUUCUUCACAACUGCAUCGAAUCAGCAGAAGUAACUAGUAAAAUACAUUUUCUUUAACUUACUCUUUGAAAUACAAACCAUCCAUAUGAGUUGACCUAGGCCUUGACCAUUUCCUUUUCUUGGAAUAGUUAAUAUUUGUUUUGUCUGUGAUGAUUUGGUGAUUGUUCAUAUAAUGGUCAGUUGAUAUGUUAUAUAAUGGUCAGUUGAUAUGUUAUAUAAUGGUCAGUUGAUAUGUUAUAUAUAUUAUUCUAGUCAG
rnacentral:lncRNA from 1 species